UAUAUUUAGGUGUAUGAUGCACGUAGGAGUUUGAUCUCUAAAGGAAUAGUUUAAAUCUAUUAAAUAUAA
rnacentral:tRNA from 1 species